AUCACCUUCGUGGAAAUCACUGAUGCCACAAUUGGAAUAAGGAGGAGGCUAGUCGCGGGGAGGAAGGUCUGAUCGAAGCAAUCUUAGACUUGAUGUAGGAGGCGAUAGAGUUUGAGAUGGAAUCAGGAGGUCGAUAGGCAUUCCGUUCUGACCAGAGGUGGUAGAUAGUGCUUUGCAUGCCUCGGGCCUGAUAGAAGGUUUAGUGCGGCGAGCGUCAGGUCCCAAGAUGAGGAAGCGGUUAGUCCUGAUCGAUUUCCCAUAGCAUGCCAAACUUGCAAGGAGUAAGCACAUUCAAAGAAGAGGUGGUUCCGGCUCUCAUCGAAGGAGUUGCAGAGGAGACAUGUAGAAGGAGAGCUGAGGCCCCAAGACAAGAGGCGAUCUCAUCGAUUGAGGAGGACGAGCCACGCUAAGAAACUAUGCAUAGGGGGUUCCUCUUGAGCACCAUACUGUCUUGUUCCACUCUACAAGCGGAUUGUGAUGUUUGAUUGCUUUAUAAAGUAUUGCUGAAGGGAGCAACCAGUUUCCAUGAUCAUUAAGACCGGCGAGAGUAGCAUUCCUUGGGAUUCCAAGCCGAGGUUCAGGAAGUCAGAGAGGCAGCCGUAGGGGCUCCAGUUAUCGCUCCAGAAACGACAGAAGUUUGAAAAGCUGCCCGAUAACACAGUGUCUGUAAACCAAGCGACCCAGAUGGACCCUGAAGAGAAGAACAACAUCCAUAUAAGCUUGAUAGAGGCCGCCUUAUUCCAGCUGAGUAAGUCUCGAACUCCUAGUCCCCCUUCUUCCUUUGCGUGUGUGAUCUGAUCCCAAGCAACUCUCGCUGAAUGAUGUCCCUCCACCGUUCCUUUCCACAGAUAGGCUCCGCAUAAGGAGUUAAUUAAUUUGAUGCAGAACUUUGGUAGAGUAAAAGUGUCACACCAAAAAUUGGUUAUUCCUGAGAUCACAGUAUUUAUGAGCAGUAAGCGGCCAGCAAAGGAGAGAGAUCUCGCACUCCAAGAGUUGAGUUUGGCUUUAACGUUCAGUAUAAGGGGUUCGCAGUUAGCCAUCGUAAGCUUCUUAGUGCAGAGGGGAACUCCUAGGUAUCUGAUUGGUAGAGUACCAUGAGAGAGACCAGCUUCUUGCUGGAGGAGUUCUAUUUCUUGUUGUGAGAGGCCAGAAGUAAAGAAGCAGGAUUUUGAAACACUGAUUCCUAGUCCUGAAUGUGCUUCAAAGUUUCAAAGGACCUCUAGGACUCCUUUGAUAGAUCGAGUAGAACCUUCAGUGAGAAUCAGGAGGUCAUCUGCGAAGCAUAAAUGGGUCAGCUUUGUUUCUUCACAGAGAUGGUGGUAGCCGAAUUCACCCUGCUGAGCCGCUCUGUUCAGGAGGAUAGAUAAACAGUUCAUUGCGAUCACAAAGAGAAAGAAGGGGUGCAGACGCAGGGGCGUAGCCAUCUGAUGUAGAGCUCCGGCACAUUAAUCGCUGACAAGGAUGUGAAGAUGAAGUCCCAGCUAACACAUAAUAUCUAAUUAAAUGAAAUAAAUCUUAAGAAGUGCUUCAACACUUUUUUAAAAUAGAUGCCCUUAAGACAAGUUACAAACAGAAAAAAUAUUUGAUGCCCUAGGCGAAUGUUUAGUUUUUCCUCAUGUAAGCACGGCUCUGCUUAUAAUUCGAGAAAAUGAUUGUUUUGAAUGUA